AUUGAACGCUGGCGGCAGGCCUAACACAUGCAAGUCGAGCGGCAGCGGGACCUUCGGGUUGCCGGCGAGCGGCGGACGGGUGAGUAAUGCCUAGGAAUCUGCCUGUUAGUGGGGGAUAACGCGGGGAAACUCGCGCUAAUACCGCAUACGUCCUACGGGAGAAAGUGGGGGACCUUCGGGCCUCACGCUAACAGAUGAGCCUAGGUCGGAUUAGCUAGUUGGUGGGGUAACGGCCCACCAAGGCGACGAUCCGUAACUGGUCUGAGAGGAUGAUCAGUCCAACUGGAACUGAGACACGGUCCAGACUCCGACGGGAGGCAGCAGUGGGGAAUAUUGGACAAUGGGCGAAAGCCUGAUCCAGCCAUGCCGCGUGUGUGAAGAAGGUCUUCGGAUUGUAAAGCACUUUAAGCCGGGAGGAAGGGCUGUAGGCGAAUACCCUGCAGUCUUGACGUUACCGGCAGAAUAAGCACCGGCUAACUUCGUGCCAGCCGCCGCAGUAACAC
rnacentral:rRNA from 1 species